GCGGAAGUAGCUCAGUUGGUAGAGCAUUAGCCUUCCAAGCUAAGGGUCGCGAGNUNGANCCUCGUCUUCCGCUCCA
rnacentral:tRNA from 1 species